rnacentral:rRNA from 1 species
GACGUAGGAUGCAAGCGUUGUCCGGAUUCAUUGGGCGUAAAGAGUUCGUAGGCGGCAUAUCAAGUCUGGUGUUAAAUCUCGGAGCUUAACUCCGUACCGGCACUGGAUACUGAUAAGCUAGAGUACAGUAGAGGCAAGGGGAAUUCCCAGUGUAGCGGUGAAAUGCGUAGAUAUUGGGAGGAACACCGGUGGCGUAAGCGCCUUGCUGGGCUGUUACUGACGCUGAGGAACGAAAGCCGGGGGAG